GUGGGGAAUAUUGGACAAUGGGCGCAAGCCUGAUCCAGCCAUGCCGCGUGAGUGAUGAAGGCCUUAGGGUUGUAAAGCUCUUUCGUCAGGGAAGAUAAUGACGGUACCUGAAGAAGAAGCCCCGGCUAACUUCGUGCCAGCAGCCGCGGUAAUACGAAGGGGGCUAGCGUUGCUCGGAAUCACUGGGCGUAAAGCGCACGUAGGCGGCUUUCUAAGUCAGGGGUGAAAUCCUGGAGCUCAACUCCAGAACUGCCUUUGAUACUGGAGAGCUUGAGUUCGGGAGAGGUGAGUGGAACUGCGAGUGUAGAGGUGAAAUUCGUAGAUAUUCGGAGGAACACCAGUGGCGAAGGCGGCUCACUGGCUCGAUACUGACGCUGAGGUGCGAAAGCGUGGGGAGCAAACAGGAUUAGAUACCCGUGUAGUCC
rnacentral:rRNA from 1 species